GUCUUUUAUUAUGUUUUUUUUUUUUUUUUUAGAAGAAGUUGGUCAUUGUGAUUUAAUUAUACCGGAAGUUCAAAGGCAGUCAUGUUUUGUAAAUAAAAUGCUCUACGUCCGAGGUUUAUAUUUAUUUGUAGUCAUUAAUAUGUUAUGGACUUCUGUCCUAGAAAGGAUAAAAUCUGAAUUUUUGAUGGUUUGUUAAAUUGUUCAUGAAGUGCUGGAGGAAUCUGGCGAUCCAACAAGCUGAAUUAGGAAGCACAUUUUAUCUGUGAAUAUUAGCUUCAACCAGGUACAAAUCUGAAUUUAAGAGUACAGUCGUUUAACCUCCAUUAUGUGGGAUGUUGAGAUCAGGGGCAUGGCAUCAGCCCAUGUCAUCAUUGCAUCCUCCAUCUUCAUGGCAACUGUAGUGCCUGCUGUGUUGGUGGAAAACUUCUCUGUUUAUGGGACUCACAUGGUUUGGCUGUAUUCUGUGGCCGGAUCUGUUGCUGUAGUCAACAUUGCAGUGUUUUGGCUUCUAGGCAUCAGUCCACCAACAAAGAAAAACACACUGAGCUUCAAGAUCAAUAGAUUGUUGAGAUGCUGUCUGUACUUUCUACUGUCAUGCCUCUUUUUUCAUAGUGUGGUUGUACUGUAUGGCGCACCUCUACUAGAGUCUGCCUUGGAGACGUUUUCUCUGGCUGUGCUACUGUCGACACUUACUACAUUGAGAUGUUUGUGCAUACUGGGCCCUAACAUACAAGCGUGGAUCCGGGUUUUCAGCAGGGAUGGGGCAAUGUCAGUGUGGGACACCUCUCUUCAGAUUACCACUGGCUGUAGUGUGGUUGGGGCCUGGCUGGGAGCUUUUCCUAUUCCUCUCGACUGGGACAGACCCUGGCAGACCUCAGAAAGGAGGAACAUUCCAGAGAAGUGUUACUGCUGAAGGUGACUUCCUGAAACUGAGAUGGCAUACAUUAACUCCAACAUGUUAGCCUUGCGGGAAGAUUGUGCAGUUUGGCCCAUCUCCUGUACACUUGGUGCAACUACUGGAUUUCUGACUGGCCUUCUCACUGCUCCUAUCUGGAUCCACUGGCAUCGCAAACAGCUCACCUACAAACUUAAGUGAGGAAAAGGUCUCAAAGUUACAGGCCUCGAGGAACUGAGAGAGUGAAAGAGAUACAGGCUUGUGUCAAAAAUAGAGAGAGAGAGGAAAAAAAAAUAUAUAUAUAUAUAUAUAUUGUCCAUCCCGGUGCCAGGUCCAUGUGCAUGUUCCAAAUCCCAGAAAUGACGUUUAACUCUGAGGUCACAUUUCCAACAAUAAAAAUCUGUUGUUGUGAGUUUGUUUUUUCUUUUUCUUUGUUGAAUAAAAUAUUUCAUUUGUUGUAUGCUC